GAUGAACGCUGGCGGCGUGCCUAAUACAUGCAAGUCGAGCGAACGGACGAGAAGCUUGCUUUUCUGAUGUUAGCGGCGGACGGGUGAGUAACACGUGGAUAACCUACCUAUAAGACUGGGAUAACUUCGGGAAACCGGAGCUAAUACCGGAUAAUAUUUUGAACCGCAUGGUUCAAAAGUGAAAGACGGUCUUGCUGUCACUUAUAGAUGGAUCCGCGCUGCAUUAGCUAGUUGGUAAGGUAACGGCUUACCAAGGCAACGAUGAAUAGCCGACCUGAGAGGGUGAUCGGCCAAACUGGAACUGAGACACGGUCCAGACUCCUACGGGAGGCAGAAGUAGGGAAUCUUCCGAAAUGGGCGAAAGCCUGACGGAGCAACGCCGCGUGGGUGAUGAAGGUCUUCGGAUCUUAAAACUCUGUUAUUAGGGAAGAACAUAUGUGUAAGUAACUGUGCACAUCGUGACGGUACCUAAUCAGAAAGCCACGGCUAACUACGUG
rnacentral:rRNA from 1 species